rnacentral:Y_RNA from 1 species
GGCUGGUUAUCUCAAUUGACUAUUCAUAGUCAUUCAUAGAUCAAACUCCUUGUUCUACUCUUUCCCCCCUUUUCACUACUGCAUUUGACUAGUCUUAA